rnacentral:lncRNA from 1 species
AACUAAAUAUACUUUUAUUUAAAUUUUUUGAAAAACUUCAGGAUAAACAACAUUUACAGUCGAUGUUUUGGUUAAUUCAUUACCAUCAGUAACCAUAACUUUCAAUCCANNNNNNNNNAAAACAAACACACAAUGGAAAUUGAAGACGCUGAAAACAAAUAGAAACGGUAGCAUCAGAUGGCAAUAAUCUCAUACGUGGAAUGAAGACAACACUACCAAUAUUUCGACCAGAAACAACUCGCGCCCCAAAAACACCAAAACCAAGAUGGGUUACAAUAAGACGGGUGCCAUUACAAAGCCCAGACGAAACAUCGAUGUUUCUCAAUAACAUAACAGGUACUCCAAUUUUGAGAAUAAGUCUAUGAUUAGGUAAACCAGAGCAUUUAAUUUCAUUAAGAAAUUCUGUUGUAAUCCAGCGAUGAUCAACAAUAGCAUCCUUAUCA